UCGUGCGCGAAAGUCCCCUUCGGGGGGCGAGUAGAGCGGCGAACGGGUGAGUAACACGUAAGCAACCUGCCUCCAAGUUCGGGAUAACCUUGCCAACGCGGGGCUAAUACCGGAUGUGGUCACGAAUCCGCAUGGUUUUGUGACUAAAGCUGACCUCUGCUUGCACGUUAGCGCUUGGAGAUGGGCUUGCGGCCCAUUAGCUUGUUGGUGGGGUAAUGGCCUACCAAGGCGACGAUGGGUAGCCGACCUGAGAGGGUGAUCGGCCACAUUGGGACUGAGAUACGGCCCAGACUCCUACGGGAGGCAGCAGUAGGGAAUUUUGCGCAAUGGACGAAAGUCUGACGCAGCGACGCCGCGUGAGCGAUGAAGGUCUUCGGAUUGUAAAGCUCUGUUGAGUGGGAAGAAAACCUUCGGGGACAAUACCCUCGGAGCUUGACGGUACCACUCGAGGAAGCCCCGGCUAACUACGUGCCAGCAGCCGCGGUAAUACGUAGGGGGCUAGCGUUGUUCGGAAUCACUGGGCGUAAAGGGAGUGUAGGCGGGAAGGUAAGUUAGGAGUUAAAUUCACAGGCUUAACCUGUGGCCUGCUCUUAAUACUGGCUUUCUUGAGUAUGGGAGAGGGUGAUGGAAUUCCAGGUGUAGCGUUGGAAUGCGGUAGAUAUCUGGAAGAACACCCAGUUGCGAAGGCGGUCAGCUUGGCACCAAUACUGACGCUUGAGGCUCGAAAGCUAGGGGAGCGAACGGGAUUAGAUAGCCCUGGUAGUCCUAGCCGUAAACGAUGGGAUAUUAGUUGCUGGAGGAGUCAAUCCUUUCAGUGACGAAAGUUAACGCGAUAAGCACCCCGCCUGGGAAUUACGGUCGCAAGGCUAAAACUCAAACGAAUUGACGGGGCCCCGCACAAGCAGCGGAGCGUGUGGUUCAAUUCGAUGCUACACGAAGAACCUUACCUGGGUUUGACAUGUACGUGGUACGAAGGCGAAAGCCUAAGGACCCUUCGGGGAGCGUACACAGGUGCUGCAUGGCUGUCGUCAGCUCGUGCCGUGAGGUGUCGGGUUUAAGUCCCGUAACGAGCGCAACCCUUGCCCUUAGUUACAAGUGUCUAAGGGGACUGCCGGCGGGAAGCCGGAGGAAGGUGGGGAUGACGUCAAGUCAGCAUGGCCCUUAUGUCCAGGGCUACACACACGCUACAAUGGUCAGUACAAGGGGUAGCGAAGUCGCGAGGCGGAGCGAAUCUCAACAAAGCUGAUCGUAGUUCGGAUUGCAGGCUGCAACCCGCCUGCAUGAAGCUGGAGUUGCUAGUAACCGCGCGUCAGCCAUAGUGCGGUGAAUACGUACCCGGGGCUUGUACACACCGCCCGUCACGUCAUGGGAGUCGGUAACGCCUGAAG
rnacentral:rRNA from 1 species